rnacentral:rRNA from 1 species
CCAGCAGCCGCGGUAAUUCCAGCUCCAAUAGCGUAUAUUAAAGUUGUUGCAGUUAAAAAGCUCGUAGUUGGAUUUGUGGAGUCACUAGUUGGGUCAUAUUUGAUUCCAAACGUGUGUCUUCAUCUUUGGGUUACCUCUAUGUGGCAUUAGGUUGUCGCGUAGAGAGUGCUCAUCAUUUACUGUGAGAAAAUCAGAGCGUUCCAAGCAAGCUUAGGCUGUUGAAUGUAUUAGCAUGGAAUAAUGGGAUAGGACCUUGGUACUAUUUUGUUGGUUUGUGCAUCAAGGAAAUGAUCAACAGGGACAGUUGGGGGUAUUCGUAUUCCAUUGUCAGAGGUGAAAUUCUUGGAUUUUUGGAAGACGAACUACUGCGAAAGCAUUUACCAAGGAUGUUUUCAUUAAUCAAGAACGAAAGU